rnacentral:rRNA from 1 species
AUUGAACGCUGGCGGCAUGCCUUACACACGCAAGUCGAACGGUAACAGGUCUUCGGAUGCUGACGAGUGGCGAACGGGUGAGUAAUACAUCGGAACGUGCCUAGUAGUGGGGGAUAACUACUCGAAAGAGUGGCUAAUACCGCAUGAGAUCUACGGAUGAAAGCAGGGGAUCGCAAGACCUUGUGCUACUAGAGCGGCCGAUGGCAGAUUAGGUAGUUGGUGGGAUAAAUGCUUACCAAGCCGACGAUCUGUAGCUGGUCUGAGAGGACGAUCAGCCACACUGGGACUGAGACACGGCCCAGACUCCUACGGGAGGCAGCAGUGGGGAAUUUUGGACAAUGGGCGCAAGCCUGAUCCAGCAAUGCCGCGUGCAGGAUGAAGGCCUUCGGGUUGUAAACUGCUUUUGUACGGAACGAAAAGCCCUGGGUUAAUACCCUGGGGUCAUGACGGUACCGUAAGAAUAAGCACCGGCUAACUACGUGCCAGCCGCCGCUGUAACAC